ACGUGUGCAUCUCCAAUCUCCAGCCCGACUGCAUCUUCCUCCCGAUCUCUCUCCUGCGAUCUCUCUCCCUCUCUCUGCCACAUCCCCUCUGUGGCGGGCAGGGUAGCGAGCGGCGUCGCUGACGCCAGAGCAGGCCGCACGGCGCUAACGAAGCAGGGCCGCGCUAGGCAGUCCCGAAACACUUAUGUCCCGACCGCAUCUUCUCUCUCCCGAUCUACGUCCGGUCUCGAUCUCGUCCACCCGCUGCGGCCUCCGCCUGCCAAGGCCGCCACUGCUCCGGUCGCCAAGAUCCAUGGACGGCCCCCGCGUAGCCACCAUCGAAUUCCCGGCCCGCCGACGUUCCCCCCGUCCAUGGACCGUCCCAUCACCGCCCAGCCGCCGUCGCAGCCCUGCCCCGAGUCGCCCCGCCGUUGAAGACCAGCAUCACCGCCGUCGUCUCCUCGCAGCCUGCCCCACAUCAUCGCCGCCGUCGCAGCUCGGCCCCGGGUUUCUGGCUGUUCAUCGAAUCACAAAUCUAAUAGACUUGAAGAGAAGGCUGGGCAUUGGCCGCCGUUGUUGCUGGUACUUCCAUCCUACGAUAGCAGAGCUGGAGUAAUAUGCAGAGAGUCAUGUUGACCACUGUUUGCUGAAUCAUCGGCGCUGUCUUCCUCCAGCUUCUACUCCAAAGAGCUGCAUCGCCGGCCUACUGGGACCAUAGAUGGAGAUGACAUGUGUGUCAGCUUGUAUGAGUUAACGUUCUUGUAAUAAUUAGUACGAAAUGCAGAGAUGACAGUAGCAAAAAUAGGAGAUAAUUAGCAGGAAAUGUUCUGAGAUGGCAGACAUGACCCAACCAAAUGCUUGUAUGAGUUGUAAUAGUAGCAAUGAGUGGUGUAUCUCAUUUUGUUCCUGAAAAUUCAAUUUACAAUAGUAGCAAUGAGUGUAUGUAUGCAAGUUACAGUUAUGAAAUAUAUGCAAAUGCAAGUGAUACAAUUUUGUGCGCCUGGA